UCUAUUGUUCAAAGUGAACGUGUCGGCCUACCUCGACACUCGUUCAAGAGCACCGAAGUAGGAGAGAUCGGCCAACGGAAGUACACACGAUGCUAACAUCGACUAUAAAGCCCAUGUAGCGUCGUGGACUCCGUUCACCACCGACAGGACAUGCCGCGACAUGCCAGUUACACCGACAGGCGGCGAACCGACAGCGCGGCACGCAGAACCAACUACGAGCUUUUAACCGCAACAACUUUAAUAUACGCUAUUGG
rnacentral:rRNA from 1 species